UACGUAGGUGGCAAGCGUUGUCCGGAUUUACUGGGCGUAAAGAGCGCGCAGGCGGUCGUUCAAGUCGCGUGUGAAAGCCCCCGGCUCAACUGGGGAGGGUCACGCGAUACUGAUCGACUGGAAGGCAGGAGAGGGUAGUGGAAUUCCCGGUGUAGUGGUGAAAUGCGUAGAUAUCGGGAGGAACACCAGUGGCGAAGGCGACUACCUGGCCUGUUCUUGACGCUGAGGCGCGAAAGCUAGGGGAGCAAAUGGG
rnacentral:rRNA from 1 species